rnacentral:rRNA from 1 species
UACGUAGGGUGCAAGCGUUAAUCGGAAUUACUGGGCGUAAAGCGUGCGCAGGCGGUUCGGAAAGAGAGGUGUGAAAUCCCAGGGCUUAACCUUGGAACUGCACUUCUAACUACCGGGCUAGAGUACGUCAGAGGGGGGUAGAAUUCCACGUGUAGCAGUGAAAUGCGUAGAGAUGUGGAGGAAUACCGAUGGCGAAGGCAGCCCCCUGGGAUAACACUGACGCUCAUGCACGAAAGCGUGGGGAGCAAACAGG